GACAGAGGGGGCAAGCGUUGCUCGGAAUUACUGGGCGUAAAGGGCGCGUAGGCGGGAUGGCAAGUCGGUCGUGAAAUCCUUCGGCUCAACCGAAGAACGUCGAUCGAUACUGCUGUUCUUGAGGGUUGCAGAGGAGACUGGAAUUCCCGGUGUAGCGGUGAAAUGCGUAGAGAUCGGGAGGAACACCAGAGGCGAAGGCGGCUAGCUGGAUAGGCACUGACACUGAACUACGAAAGCGUGGGGAGCAAACAGG
rnacentral:rRNA from 1 species